rnacentral:rRNA from 1 species
GCCUACAUGAAGCUGGAAUUGCUAGUAAUCACAGGUCGGCAUACUGUGGUGAAUACGUUCCCGGGCCUUGUACACACCGCCCGUCACACCAUGAGAGUUGAGAAUACCCGAAGCCCAUGUCAAAGUGGUCGAAGGUAGGCUUGAUGAUUGGGGUGAAGUCGUAACAAGGUAGC